CAAUUAUUGUGAAAAUGAAUCAGGAAAGUUCAUUGCUUCCAUCCCCAGAAAUUAUUCGAUGGAGUUAGGAUGUUUUCUUAAGUUUCAGAGGUGAAGAUGUACGCAAAACAUUUGUUGACCAUCUGUACCUUGCUCUGCAACAAAAGUGCAUUAAUACCUUCAAAGAUGAUGAAAAACUAGAGAAAGGAAAGUUCAUUUCACCGGAACUCGAGAGUUCAAUUGAAGAGUCAAGGAUAGCUUUGAUCAUAUUCUCUAGAAACUAUGCUAAUUCAACAUGGUGUUUAGAUGAAUUGACAAAGAUCAUGGAGUGCAAGAAUGUGAAAGGACAAAUUGUUGUUCCGGUGUUUUAUGAUGUAGAUCCAUCAACAGUGAGGAAACAAAAAAACAUGUUUGGAGAAGCAUUUAGCAAACAUGAAGCCCGGUUCCAAGAGGAUAAGGUGCAAAAAUGGAGGGCAGCACUGGUGGAAGCAGCUAAUAUUUCUGGCUGGGAUUUGCCAAAUACUUCCAAUGGACAUGAAGCUAGAGUCAUAGAGAAAAUUGUGGAAGAUAUAAUGGCUAGAUUGGGUAGUCAGAGACAUGCAAGCAAUGCUAGAAAUCUUGUUGGAAUGGAGUCACACAUGCACCAAGUAUAUAAAAUGCUUGGCAUAGGGUCUGGUGGAGUUCGCUUUCUCGGAAUAUUGGGAAUGAGCGGAGUGGGGAAGACAACUCUUGCAAAAGUUAUUUAUGAUAACCUUCGGAGUCGAUUUCAAGGUGCAUGUUUUCUUCACGAAGUCAGAGACCGUUCAGCAAAGCAGGGACUAGAGCACUUGCAAGAGAUACUUCUUUCUGAGAUCCUUGUUGUAAAAAAACUAAGGAUCAACGAUUCGUUUGAAGGAGCUAAUAUGCAAAAACAAAGACUACAGUACAAAAAGGUUCUUCUUGUUCUGGAUGAUGUUGAUCACAUAGAUCAAUUAGACGCGCUAGCUGGGAAGCGUGAAUGGUUUGGUGACGGAAGUAGAAUCAUCAUAACAACCAAAGACAAACACCUGCUUGUUAAGUAUGAGACUGAAAAGAUAUACAGAAUGAAAACUUUAGACAAAUAUGAAAGCUUACGACUUUUUAAACAACAUGCUUUCAAGAAAAACUACCCUACCAAAGAAUUUGAGGAUCUAUCAGCUCAAGUGAUAGAGCAUACUGGUGGACUCCCCCUAGCCCUGAAAGUCCUUGGCAGUUUCUUGUAUGGGAGAGGCUUGGAUGAAUGGAUAAGUCAAGUGGAGCGUUUGAAACAAAUCCCAGAAAAUGAAAUUUUGAAGAAACUCGAACUAAGUUUCACUGGUCUCCACAAUACUGAGCAAAAGAUAUUCUUAGACAUUGCAUGUUUCUUUUCAGGGAAGAGGAAAGAUUCAGUGACCAGAAUACUUGAGAGUUUUCAUUUUAGCCCUGUCAUUGGGAUUAAAGUACUCAUGGAGAAAUGUUUGAUCACUAUAUUAAAAGGUCGCGUUAUAAUACACCAAUUGAUACAAGAAAUGGGCUGGCACAUUGUUCGUCGGGAAGCUUCUUACAAUCCAAGAAUAUGUAGUAGGUUGUGGAAGCGCAAAGAUAUUUGUCCUGUACUUGAAAGAAAUUUGGGCACUGACAAGAUCGAAGGCAUUUUGCUGCACCUGACAAAUGAAGAAGAAGUUAAUUUUGGUGGCAAGGCCUUCAUGCAGAUGACCAGUCUGAGGUUUCUCAAAUUCCGGAAUGCAUAUGUUUGCCAGGGACCUGAGUUUCUUCCUGAUGAGUUGAGGUGGCUUGAUUGGCAUGGAUAUCCUUCGAAAAGUCUGCCAAAUAGCUUUAAGGGAGAUCAACUUGUUAGUUUGAAAUUGAAAAAAAGCCGCAUCAUACAACUUUGAAGAACCUCAAAGGAUCUAGGAAAACUAAAGUACAUGAACCUUAGCCAUUCACAGAAGCUAAUAAGGAUGCCAGAUUUUUCCGUUACACCUAAUCUUGAAAGACUGGUUCUUGAAGAAUGCACAAGUUUGGUAGAAAUCAAUUUUUCUAUUGGAGAUCUUGGAAAGCUAGUCUUUCUGAAUCUGAAGAACUGUAGAAAUUUAAAGACCCUACCAAAGAGUAUUCGAUUGGAAAAGCUUGAAAUUCUCGUUCUUUCAGGCUGCUCAAAGUUAAGAACAUUCCCGGAAAUAGAAGAGAAAAUGAAUCGUUUAGCAGAACUGUAUUUGGGCGCUACUGCUUUGAGUGAGCUACCAGCAUCAGUUGAGAACUUUCCAGGAGUUGGUGUAAUAAAUCUAAGUUACUGCAAGCAUCUUGAGAGUCUACCUAGCAGUAUUUUUAGGUUGAAAUGUUUGAAAACACUUGAUGUGUCUGGAUGCUCAAAACUUAAAAAUUUACCAGAUGAUUUGGGACUUUUAGUUGGUUUAGAGGAGCUCCACUUCACUCACACAGCCAUCCAAACAAUUCCAUCCUCAAUGUCUCUUCUUAAAAACCUUAAACAUUUAUAUCUCCGUGGAUGUACUGCUUUGAGUUCACAAGUAAGUAGCUCAAGUCGUGGCCAGAAGUCUAUGGGUGUAAAUUUUCAGAAUUUGUCGGGUCUUUGUUCAUUGAUCAUGUUGGAUCUUAGUGACUGCAACAUUUCAGACGGAGGCAUUUUAAGUAAUCUUGGGUUCUUACCGUCUUUGGAGGGAUUGGUUCUUGACGGUAACAAUUUUUCCAAUAUUGCAGCUGCAAACAUAAGUCGUCUCACUAAUCUUAAAUUCCUUGCAUUGGCUGGUUGUAGGAGGCUUGAGAGUUUACCAGAACUUCCUCCAAGUAUAACAGGGCUAUAUGCCGAUGAAUGCACAUCUUUGAUGAGUAUUGAUCAACUAACCAAAUAUCCAAUGUUGCUUGAAGUUUCAUUCACAAAAUGUCAUCAACUUGUAAAAAAUAAACAGCACGCCUCCAUGGUUGAUUCAUUGUUGAAACAGAUGGACAAGGUACUAUUCAUGAAUGGCUUAUUUAGGAUGUACGUCCCUGGUGUGGAGAUUCCGGAAUGGUUUACAUACAAGAACUCAGGGACUGGAUCAAUCUCAGUAGCCCUGCCCAAAAAUUGGUUCACACCCACAUUCAGGGGGUUUGCUGUUUGUGCUGUUUUUGACAUGAUGAAUCCUUUCAUUUUAAGGAAAUUUAAGUGGGACGGUCCCAUGAAUUUCCAUACUGACAAAUUCCUAAGAAAUUCCCGAGGACCUGCAGCAUGGUUUAAGUUCACAAGCCAUGACGGUUUGAGGCGCGAAUCUUGGUUUUCUUUCUCCUCAAUAGGAAGUGAAAAAGCUGUUGGUUUAGGUGAUACUUUUCUAGCCCAUUUACCUGUUCAUCCGUAUUGGACGUCGAAGGAUGUUAAUUAUAAUAACUACAUUCAGCUUGAGGUUGGUUUCCAUGAUGAAGUUCAUAAGGAUGUAGUGGUCAAAGGUAUGGGAGUGCGUCUUGUGUAUGAGAAUUGAUGGCAACAGGGAGCUGAAAUGCAUAUGAAUUUGUUCAACUUAGAAACAUAAUUAUAAUCUUGAAAGCUACUUAGAAAUGGGAGAAGGAGUCCAUAAGAACUCAGAGAAUCAUGUACUGAUUUUGUACU